UACAACUUCGGUCUUCCAUUCCCCUUGGACACGCAUCGAUGGAUCGGGCGCGACGUCCUCCACCGCCUGAUUCCUGCCAACUAAUCCUCUACCCCUGCCCCUUGCCCCACCACCAACGAUGAUGAUGAAGACACCGGUGGUUCACAUUAGCCAUAGCGUUGGAGACGAGUCGAGGCCGCACGAUUCAACCAUGCCAUCGGCCGUCGACAUCUCAUCUGCCCUGGUGGGAUCUUGCGCGUGCGGCGGGCAAGGUUACAUCAAACAGAGAGACUGCAUUCGCCCUGGCCAUUUCGUGCGUGGAUGUGGGAUGUGGCCAACGACACAGUGUCCACCUUUGCCACGUCACACGGCCGGCGACCGCCCAUGAUUCAUGGUGGUUCUGUAUAUCCAAAGAUUUCACAUCAGUUUGUCACGGAAGGUGCGUGAGGCUGCAUUGGGAGAGCUACCAAUGAAGAUCUUUGUGGUAUUGAUGAAUGUCAUAAAAAGUGCGAUCCUCUUGGGUCUAUUUCUAGCUUGAUUUUACCACUUUACUACCAUAGAGAAAUUACUGAAAAUUUGUAUCUUUAUGUUGCUAGAUAAGAUCCCUCUGUUGAAAGCAUCUCGGUUCAAAACCAAGUGUUACUCAAAUAAGCGACGAGUUUAAUCUUGAGACAAGGACAAUUACUCAA